rnacentral:rRNA from 1 species
GACGGAGGGUGCAAGCGUUGUUCGGAAUUACUGGGCGUAAAGGGCGCGUAGGCGGUCUGUUAAGUUCGGUGUGAAAGCCCCCGGCUCACCUGGGGAACUGCGCCGGAAACCGACAGACUCGAGUACCGGAGAGGAGGGUGGAAUUCCUGGUGUAGCGGUGAAAUGCGUAGAUAUCUGGAGGAACACCGGUGGCGAAGGCGGCAUCCUGGACCGGUAUUGACACUGAGGCGCGAAAGCCAGGGGAGCAAACGGG